UUCCGGUUGAUCCUGCCAGACCUGACUGCUAUCGGAUUGAUACUAAGCCAUGCGAGUCAUUGUAGCAAUACAAGGCAGACGGCUCAGUAACGCGUAGUCAACCUACCCUAUGGACGGGAAUAACCUCGGGAAACUGAGAAUAAUGCCCGAUAGAACAUUAUGCCUGGAAUGGUUUAUGUUCCAAAUGAUUUAUCGCCGUAGGAUGGGACUGCGGCCUAUCAGUUUGUUGGUGAGGUAAUGGCCCACCAAGACUAUUACAGGUACGGGCUCUGAGAGGAGUGGCCCGGAGAUGGGUACUGAGACACGGACCCAGGCCCUAUGGGGCGCAGCAGGCGAGAAAACUUUGCAAUGUGCGAAAGCACGACAAGGUUAAUCCGAGUGGUUUCUGCUAAAGGAACCUUUUGACAGUCCUAGAAACACUGUUGAAUAAGGGGUGGGCAAGUUCUGGUGUCAGCCGCCGCGGUAAAACCAGCACCUCAAGUGGUCAGGAUGAUUAUUGGGCCUAAAGCAUCCGUAGCCGGCUCUGUAAGUUUUCGGUUAAAUCUAUACGCUCAACGUAUAGGCUGCCGGGAAUACUGCAGAGCUAGGGAGUGGGAGAGGUAGACGGUACUCGGUAGGAAGGGGUAAAAUCCUUUGAUCUAUUGAUGACCACCUGUGGCGAAGGCGGUCUACCAGAACACGUCCGACGGUGAGGGAUGAAAGCUGGGGGAGCAAACCGGAUUAGAUACCCGGGUAGUCCCAGCUGUAAACUAUGCAAACUCAGUGAUGCAUUGGCUUGUGGCCAAUGCAGUGCUGCAGGGAAGCCGUUAAGUUUGCCGCCUGGGAAGUACGUACGCAAGUAUGAAACUUAAAGGAAUUGGCGGGGGAGCACCACAAGGGGUGAAGCCUGCGGUUCAAUUGGAUUCAACGCCGGA
rnacentral:rRNA from 2 species